rnacentral:rRNA from 1 species
ACUGUGAAGUGGAGCAAAACUCAAAAAAAUAAGUCUCAGUUCGGAUUGAAGGCUGAAAUUCGCCUUCAUGAAGCCGGAAUUGCUAGUAAUGGCAGGUCAGCAUACUGCCGUGAAUACGUUCCCGGGCCUUGUACACACCGCCCGUCACACCAUGAGAGUUGGGAAUACCCGAAGCCUGUGAGCUAACUUUUAGAGGCAGCAGUCGAAGGUAGAAUCAAUGAUUGGGGUGAAGUCGUAACAAGGUAGC